GAAGGUAAAAUUAUUAAAAACGCGCCUAAAGCGACUAACGUGUUAUUAUCUUUGCGGGAAGCCAGGAAGUUCGCUAAACGGCAUGUUCCGAAUUUCUAAGUAUCUUAAUAUAAGCAUUUAAAGAGGGCCACGCAAUUUGUGGGGUUUCAUUGGACGCGGCGCACCUAGUUUUGUUAUUUAAAGGCCAAUUCUAGAGAAAACUAUUAUUGAAUUCAUCUCUAAAGGAUUGGUUAACUAGUGUUACUAAUUAUUAAUUACAGUUAUACCAAGGCAGGAGUCCAACUUGGAGUUGUCCCUAGCAGUCCUCAACUCAACAAAUGCAUUGAUUCAAUAGACUAACAGUAGUGGGAUGUGAAUAUGAGGCCCAAUAUUUAUCAGUUUGAGUUUUGGAAGUUGAUUGUAUAUAAAAAGCUUCAACUGUAAAGCUGAAUAUUACUUCGGGCCUCCAAGUAGGCCCAAUUCCAAAUCAUCUGGGCAGCCUGUUUUGAUUGGCAAAUAUUAUGAGCCCUCACUAGGAACUGGACUUUAAGCGGAACCUAGAAAACACUAAAUUUGAUACACAAUAAAACUCAAUAAUUCUACAGAAAUAAUGUAUGAAUAGUUCGACUCUGCUCACAUGCUAAUUUUAAGUCUGUAUUUCAGGCUUGAAUUUACACUAAGCGACUGAUUAUCUAUUGAAUAUUAAUAGAAUUCAAACUGUUAAAUAGACUUGACCUAACCCAGAGCUACACUAGACAACUAUACCAAUAUAAAAUAUAACAAAAUGGAAGCAAAUUAUAGUCCAUAUAUAGUCCAGUUUAAUAGUCCCAUCACACACCAUCAAUGUCAAAUAUUACUGCUAUAUAGUCUAAAAUGUGAACUAACAAGCAUGAAUUUAAACUUGAAAUCAAUAGGGAGCAUUGAUCAUUCAUUCAACAAUCUGAAUACAAAUAUUGGAUUUGGUCCUUCGCAUAUUCGAAGUUGAAGAGUACCUGGAAUUACAAUGAACAAAGGAGAAAAGGAGUCAGCAACUGUUUAAUAACAGUGCAGCAUAUGGAUCGGCAGUCAAAAUCGAACAGCAACACGAUAUUUAGAACAAUUGGAAACCCAAUUUGACACCAUUACAACCAAUGACAUGAGCUCAAACCAAUAACACCACUAAUAGACCAAAACCAACCUCGAUUCCACUUUAAAACAUACUCAAAAUUGAACUCUACAACUUCUGAAAGUUUAACACCUCAUACCCAUGUAUUUCAAAUCUUAGUUACACUAAAAUUCAGAUUGAUAGCUGAGAGUUGGAACUGAUCUAAAAAAAACUAAUGAAACAGUGUUUUUUUAUUUUUCUAAAGAUUUAAGAUCUAAAAGAACUUUGAGGCUGGAAACUUCAGAGAAUUUUUCUCAGAUUUUCAGGCCUAAAAAACUUGUGAAUGAAGGCAUUAGGGUACCUUUUUAUACCCAAAGCAUUAGGGCAAUCCCUUUUAUUUGUGUUUACCCCUUAGUCCUCUUCUUAUUUUUCAAAUUUACCCAACUAGUCCCUAAAUUCCUAACUUGUUAUUCAAGUUAUAACAAUUAAAAUCUGAAUUUCACCUUUGACCCCACUCUAAAAGCUUCCUAGAUCUGUUAACAAAGAUUCUCCAAUGAACUACCCAAACCACCCUUGAAUUGCUUCUGUAAUUACCAACUUAAGUUAAUUAUUCUUACCUCUCUAAUUUACUAUGCUUAACCCUGUAAUUUUUAAUAUCAAUCAGCUAACAUAUUCCAAGCCAAAAUUUGAACACUAACUGACUGUUGAUUUUGGAUUGCAAACUACUUAUCAGAAAAAUUAAAGAAUAAUUAUCAUUAAAACAAAAAUGAAAACCAAACAAACCCUACAUUAAAUCUAAAAGAAAAUUAAACACUAAGGCAAACAAGAUCAAACAGAAUCAGAAAACUAAUAUGCACAAAGGAAAAUUAGUUUAAACAAAAAUCCAUGCACAGGCAGAUAUGCUGUCCUAUAGAACUAAAUUAAUUGAUAAAAAAAUAAAAUAAAAACUUAAUCAAGAUUAAUGACCUAAAACAAAACAUAAUUGAACCGAUUUACAUGAAACAUAAUUCAAAACUAAAAGGAAAAUAAGAAAAGAACUCAUCUAUGCGAGGAGUGGAAUAGAAUUCGAGCUUCGCUUCAACAUUCAAGGAAAGGCCUCCGUUCUGAACCCUCUAGGGUUCUUCCCGCCGUUGACUCGAAAUUCAAGCACUUCCAGCGAUGCUGCGAAGGGAACUAAUCAGGGAUUCGAGAAGAUAGCGGUGAGGAGGAUUAGAGGUGUUAUUUUGGGCAGGGUUGGAUGAGACACCGCCGUACACGGCGGAGACGGUAGACAUAUUUUAACCUAUCCGACAGGUUCAAGGGAGAUUUGAGGGAAGCGGGAUUCAGAUUUGGGUAGAGGAUGGAAAGGAGAACCUAUGGUGUAUUAUUGAUGAUCGUCUGAGCUGGCGCCGCCAUGGACGACGCACCAGUCAGACCUUUGAACGAAAAUUCAGGAUGAGCGGCUAAGAUUCGAUGAGUGGAAUUUAGGGUGUUGGAAAGAGGAGGAAGAGGAGAUUCAGGGAUGUUAAUUUGGGUGUUGUUAGAGACUUGUUGCCGGUGGCGACAAUUUAUGGCCGGUGGCGGAUGGCGGAGAAGCGGUGGUUAUAUGAAGAUGAUACACCGGUGUAAUUAGGGGUUUAUGAGACUGUGAAUGAGGGGUGUGGGUGGAUUCCGACACUAAUAUAUUAAUGCGGGGAGUUCCCGUCCGUUGGAUCACUUACCUCGACGGACCAGAUUUGAUAGGACGAAACAAUGUCGUUUUGGGUGUGGGUUGGUGCUGGAUCGGGUUUCAACCGUGGUUUUGGGUCAGGUGCAUAGUAUUUGGGCUGGUUUAUUUUGCAUAUAUGGCCCAAUUUGGUUUCAAAGCCCAACCCCACUUCAGUUUUUUUUUUUUAGAUCAAACUGUCAUUUCAUUGAUUUCAAAAAGUAUGUACAAUGCAUUUCUAUGGUAGUAGUAUGGACAUUCUACUACUCAUUUACAUUUAGUUCUAACUAAACAAUCUCAUAUAGACUAAUCAAUCAUAUAGCAAUUUGUUUUGUUUUCUUUCUUUAAUUAAAAUGCACAAAUAAAAUGCAAAUAAUUAAUAUAAAAGGUCACAAAAAUCUACGAAAUUGCAAAAUAAUGAACGAAAUCAAUUUGUUUGAAUUUCUGGGAGUAAUUCAUAUAUGGCAAAAAUUACAUGCUCACAAGUACAGCAUAUUUGGACAGUUGUUUGUCAUUUUUCAGCCCAAUUCUAGCAUUUUAUUCUUAAAAUGGGGACAGUUGUACAUAUGCUAGAACCUUCUGAUAUUUACCUAAUGUAAACCCGAUUUUAACCCUUCAGUUACUGAGUAUUUCAAUUCUAACCAGUCCUGACCUAACUUGUGAUUUUUAAAUAUCCUUAUGGAACCUCCUAGAAUAAUCUAAAAUAUUUCAAUAUUGAACUUCCUAAUCAUUGUUUCAAUUGUCCUUUUAUAUUUGAAAUUAGUGUUAAGAUUAAGCGCAUUCAGGGUUUAUCUAAACAAUAUAAACCUAAUUAGUAAAUUAUCAGGCUCACCUAAUUCACCUUAAACAAAUUUGAAUUUUAACAACUAACACAUCUAAAUAGUGAACAAACAAGAACUAGAACGAAAAUGAAAAGAAUUAAUCUACUCAGCUUGCAAGUUAAACAAAUUAAUUAACUAAUCUUUCUAACAGCUAACCAAAAGUAGACUAGGCAGCUCGUUAGUCAACUUGAGUAAAAUUAUUCUAACUAACUUAAACCAGACACUGACAUAAAACAAACAAGCAUAAGAGAGAAAUAGAAAGUAACAUGAAGAAAACAGAAAAAUCAUGUUGUUUAUCAAAACUUAAAGUUAACCCUAAUUAACCAAAAUUUAUGCAAUUGAAACUAAGCUUAAAAUACUUAUGAAAUUCAAUAUACUUCAACUAGUCAAAACCAACCGAUGCAAACAGACAAAAUCAAAUAAAAAAGAAAAAGAUCUAAAUCGUGUAGUUUUAAACAAGUAGCUAACCAUUCAAGAAAGCAGAAGAUAAAAAAAUGAAAAAGAAAACGGGAAAGGAAAUCACCUAAGACUUGGUUGGAAUCGAUCAGUCCAAACUCAACCAAUUUUUACGAAGUAAGAAUGAACUUUAGACGACCAUCCAUCGACUGCUCUUAUCAAAAGCACUCGAUUAAAGAUAAUCUUGGGUUCCAAUGAUCCAAAAACUGCCCGAAAUUAGAAAUUAAAAAGUUAGGGUUUUAGAUCUUAGAUCCAAGAUUCGAAAAGUUCAAGACUGAUUUGAAGGGAUAUGUGGUGAUAUUCAGAAAGAGGAGGUAAAGGCGGCUAUGGGGUGUUAAUUUGGUUGAUUUUAGAGGUACUACACCGCUGUAAGGCUUUUUCGGGCGGUGGAGAGAAACGGAGCCGGCGAGGAGUGACAGGGCGGCUAUGAUUUCUCGAUUGAGAGAAUUUGAGAGAGGGAAUGAAAUAGGUGUUAGGGGUUUGAGAGGGGGUUGGCUUCGGACAGUUAUAAGGAUUCAGGAUAUUGAGUUGCGAGCCCUUGGAUUAAAAGAAUCCAAUAGCUG
rnacentral:lncRNA from 1 species